rnacentral:rRNA from 1 species
AUGGGGCUCCUCGACCAGCUCUGGGACGAGACGGUCGCCGGCCCCAGGCCGGACCACGGCCUCGGCAGGCUCCGCAAGUACUCCUCCUUCUCGCCCUCGACCGCGGCGGCCACGGACGUCGCGCCGGCGGUGACCCGCAGCAUCACCAUCGCCCGGCCGCCAUCUCUCUCGGUGCCAUCUGGCGAAUCAAGCUCCUUGCCGCCGUCCCCGGCCAGCGCGCCGGACUCCCCGUUCGCAGCAGCUACCAGUAGGAGGGACGGCUGGAGGGCGUUCAGGCGGAAAUCCAAGAUGGCCAACGUCGACGUCGUCCGGCCUGAGACGGCCGUCGGGCCCAGAAGCCCCACCGUGUACGACUGGGUGGUGAUCAGUUCAUUGGACCGAUGA